AUGGCCUGCUGGGGUGGACAAAAGCGGGGAGGGACUAAGGGGUCUCUGAAGCCGGCAGUCUCCUCCAUGAGGAAGACCCCUCGCGUCGGGAGCGAGGAGGAGCAGCGCUGGUGGAAAAACAGCGCUAUUGAAAGCGAGCACGUUGAGGGCGCCUUAGACCAGCCCCAGCACGACGUCCGCCUGGAAGAUCUCUGUGAGCUCCACAGAGCUGCCCAUUCCGGCGAUGGCCCUGGGGUGGAGCGCGUCCUGGCUCCUGGAGACACUGGCGUGGACAAGAGGGAUAGGAAGAAGAGAUUUAACUGCAGACUUGCCUUAAAACAAGAAAAAGACGAGAAAGGAAAUGCUGAUAUGUUACAUAAUAAAGAGAGUGAACGGUUAAGAACAAAAGAAGAGGAAUGUGGGAAAGAGGUUGAAACGAAGCAGCGACUUAAAUGGACUCCGAGAAGAUUUCUUAAGGAAUUGAAGACGGUAAGAGACAACUUGGAUCUGGUUGUGCAGGAGAGAAACGAUAUCCAGAAGUAACUUUCUGAAGAACAGAAUGCCAGAAUAUUACAAGAUCAGAUUCUGACCAGUAAACAAAAGGAGCUAGAAAUUGCUCAAAAGAAAAUUAAUUCUGAAAUUUCUCAUAGGCAUAAGGAAGAAAAGGAUCUCUUGCAUGAAAAUUGCAUGUUGCGGGAAGAAAUUGCCUCUCUGAGACUGGAAAUAGAUACAAUAAAUAAUCAGAACCAGCAAAAGGAAAAGAAAUAUUUUGAAGAUAUUGAGGUUGUGAAAGAAAAGACUGAUAACCUUCAAAAAAUUAUAAAACUAAAUGAGGAAAAAUUAACAAAAACAAUACUGCAGUACAGUGGACAGCUGAACGAUCUGACAGCUGAGAAUAAGAAACAGAACCAAGAAAGACUGGAAAUAGAAAUGGAAUUAUAUCGUUGUAGACUGGCUGCUGCUUUACAUGAUUGUGAUCAAAGUCAGACAUCAAGAGACCUAAAACUUGAUUUCCAGAGAACAAUACAAGAGUGGGUUCAUUUCCAGGACAAAAUAAAGGUUGAUAUGUCUGACCUACAAGCUAAGACUGAGAUUCUUUCUGAAAGACUUUCUAAUGCUGACAGUACAAUCAGCAGCCUACAAAUUCAGCUCCAUAACACAAGAGAUGCUGAUGAAAGAAAGAGUUUGAUUUUGGAACGUUUGCAAAGAGACCUCAGUCAAACACACUGUGAGAAGAAAGAAAUUGAACAAAUGUACCAAACUCAACAAAGCAAAGUGAAGAAAUACAUUGCCAAGCAGGAAUCUGUAGAGGAGAGAUUAUCUCAACUAGAAAAUGAGAAUACAUUGCUUCGACAGAAACUUGAUGAUGCUCACAGGAAAGCUAACAGUCAGGAAAAGACAGUCAGUACUAUCCAAGACCAAUUUCAUGCUUUUGCCAAAAAUCUUCAAGCUGAGAGUGAAAAGAAGAUUCUUUCACUACAAGAGAAGAACAAGGAGUUGAGAGAUGAGUAUAGUCAUUUACAAAAAAGAAUGCAUCAAUGUGAGAAAGAGAAAGCACGAAGAAAAGUUGACCUUAUAGAAGCACAGGAAACUGCACCUUCACGAUGUCUACAUCUGGAUGCAGAGAAUGAAGUUCUUCAACUUCAACAGACAUUAUUCUCUAUGAAAGCAAUACGAAUGCAAUGUGAAACACUACAGAAGAAUAAGAAGCAGCUGAAACGAGAAGUAGUAAACCUCAAAAGUUAUAUGGAGAGAAAUAUGUUAGCACAUGCUGAAGCUGAACAGCAUAAACGGUUGAUUGAAGAAAAAGCAAGGAAGGAGAUAGCAGAAAAAGUAAACGAAGCCGUUCUCACCUUGCAGGUCUCUGAAUUAAGACAACAGCUUCGAAUUUCGGGGCCUGCCUGUGUCAGGCACCAAAACGGCCCUCAUGGACCGGCUUCGACCCUUCCAGACUGCUCUGGCAACCCAGGGCCAACUUUGGGGAUAUAACGACUGUCACUUUCCUGUCACCCCAACACGCUGCCCAUUACCAGACUUCUUCCACCAGUGCCCUCUCCAAUGGUUUUUCUACCACUUUGGCAGCACCAGCUCCAGCCCCCCGAUCUCCCCAGCCCCUCUGACCCUGUCGGUCGCCGGGUCCCUGCCAGACACCUUCAAUGAUGCCUCCCCCCUCCUUCGGCCUGCACCCGCCCCAGCCACGUGUGCACGGAGGAAAGUCUCAUGAGCAGCCUGAAUGGGGGCUCUGUUCCUUCUGAGCUGGAUGGGCUGGACUCCGAGAAGAACAAGAUGCUGGUGGAGAAGCAAAGGUGAUCAAUGAACUCACCUGGAAACUCUAGCAAGAGCAGAGGCAGGUGGAGGAGCUGAGGAUGCAGCUUCAGAACAGAAAAGGAAUAACUGUUCAGAGAGGAAGCCGCUGCCUUUCUGUGCUGCCUCCAUCAGCAGGAAGAGGCUGUCUCCAGCCCCCUUUUGCAUCCCAGUACUGGGAAAAGACAAAGCAGCAGCUCAGAGUGUCACCCGCCGGCUUGUGAGCGGCUCAACUCCCGCUCUUGGAAAUGUUUAUUGUGUGGAGUCCUCAGAUCAACCCAUGUACUUUCUUCCACAUUCUCAGUCCCCCUGUGUUCCCUCACCAUUCACCGCUUGGGUUGGUGAAAAGCCCACACACCAGUUUUGCCCCAUCACCCAACAACCCUCACUUUCUGCCCUCGUCCUCCGGGGCCCAGGGAGAAGGGCACAGGGUCUCCUCCCCAUCAGCAGCCGGUUGCACUGCACAGAACUCAGGACUCACGAUGGCCAUCCUCAAGCUCUCUCUCCCCGUUCUUCCACCCUCCCCCACCCUUCUCUGGAGCCCAAGCAGACAGCAGUCACGGGGCUGGGGGCAACCCUUGUCCCAAACCCAUGUGUACAGCAAAGAAACAGAUCACGUCAGACCCCAUGAAUUCAAUGUCCUUUCUCUAUUUUACCCACUACAGAUGGCUGCGUUUACCUCUUCUGAUAAGGACAUUCUGAGCCUGCGUGAACUCUUAAGGAAUGAACUCUCGGUAGCAAGAUCAGAUGCACACUGUGAGUCGGAUGUACCAGGCAGUCCUCAGGGAGUCAUUUCCUUUGAGCUUCUCGCACAUUUUUACAGCUGA